rnacentral:rRNA from 1 species
UGCGCAGGCGGGCUUGUAAGUCAGUGGUGAAAUACUGCCGCUUAACGGUAGAACUGCCAUUGAUACUGCGAGUCUUGAAUAUGGUUGAGGUAGGCGGAAUGUGUUGCGUAGCGGUGAAAUGCAUAGAUAUGACACAGAACGCCGAUUGCGAAGGCAGCUUACUAAGCCAUUAUUGACGCUGAGGCACGAAAGCGUGGGGAGCGAACAGGAUUAGAUACCCUGGUAGUCC